rnacentral:tRNA from 1 species
UGGCUCAGUAGGUAGAGCAUGGAGCAUGCAACGCCAAGGUUGUGGGUUUGAUUCCCAC